CAGUAGCCACGGUAAUACGAAGGGUGCAAGCGUUACUCGGAAUUACUGGGCGUAAAGCGUGCGUAGGUGGUGGUUUAAGUCCGUUGUGAAAGCCCUGGGCUCAACCUGGGAAUUGCAGUGGAUACUGGAUCACUAGAGUGUGGUAGAGGAUAGUGGAAUUUCCGGUGUAGCAGUGAAAUGCGUAGAGAUCGGAAGGAACAUCUGUGGCGAAGGCGACUAUCUGGGCCAACACUGACGCUGAGGUGCGAAAGCGUGGGGAGCAAACAGGAUUAGAUACCCCAGUAGUCCCUGUCUCUUAUAC
rnacentral:rRNA from 1 species